rnacentral:rRNA from 1 species
GACAGAGGUGCCGAGCGUUAGGCGGAAUCACUGGGCUUAAAGCGUGUGUAGGUGGAUGCCUAAGUACCUUGUGAAAUCCCACGGCUCAACCGUGGAACUGCUGGGUAUACUGGGUGUCUUGAGCCAACUAGGGGCGAGCGGAACAAAUGGUGGAGCGGUGAAAUGCGUAGAUAUCAUUUGGAACGCCAAUGGUGAAAACAGCUCGCUGGGGUUGUGCUGACACUGAGACACGAAAGCCAGGGGAGCGAACGGG